rnacentral:misc_RNA from 1 species
AGGUGAAGUCGGAGCGGCGAGUUCACUCGCUCCAAAAAUUGGUCCACUCGGUCUUUCUCCUAAGAAAAUCGGUGAAGACAUUGCUAAGGAAACUUCAAAGGACUGGAAGGGUCUCAGAGUCACCGUCAAGCUCACUGUCCAAAAUCGUCAAGCUAAGGUAUCAGUUGUACCUUCCGCUGCCGCACUUGUGAUCAAAGCGUUGAAGGAACCUGAACGUGAUAGGAAGAAAACGAAGAAUAUCAAGCAUAAUGGAAAUAUUUCGCUUGAUGAUGUUAUCGAGAUUGCUAAAGUUAUGCAGCCUAGAUCUAUGGCUAAGGAUUUGAGUGGAACAGUGAAGGAGAUUUUAGGUACUUGUGUAUCUGUUGGUUGCACUGUUGAUGGAAAGGAUCCAAAGGAUCUGCAGCAAGAGAUUUCUGAUGGCGAUGUUGAGAUUCCUGAGAAUUGACCGUUUGCAGGCGAAGGUUAAAUUCUGAGUUUCUCUCAAUAUAGUAGUUCUUAAAUUUGGAUUCAUGUUGUUUUGUUUCUGAGAGAAAUGUUAUCAGAUAUUACUUUUCAUAUCUUAUCAUUAUGAAAAAAAAUGUUGAUUUCGUUUCGCAA